CAAUAGCGUAUAUUAAAGUUGUUGCGGUUAAAAAGCUCGUAGUUGGAUUUCUGCUGAGGAUGACCGGUCCGCCCUGUGGGUGUGCAUCUGGCUCAGCCUUGGCAUCUUCCUGAAGAACGUAGCUGCACUUGACUGUGUGGUGCGGUAUUUAGGACAUUUACUUUGAGGAAAUUAGAGUGUUUCAAGCAAGCGCACGCUUUGAAUACAUUAGCAUGGAAUAAUAAGAUAGGACCUUGGUUCUAUUUUGUUGGUUUCUAGAGCUGAGGUAAUGAUUGAUAGGGAUAGUUGGGGGCAUUCGUAUUUAACAGUCAGAGGUGAAAUUCUUGGAUUUGUUAAAGACGGACUACUGCGAAAGCAUUUGCCAAGGAUGUUUUCAUUGA
rnacentral:rRNA from 1 species